rnacentral:rRNA from 1 species
CCUACGGGUGGCAGCAGUGAGGAAUAUUGGUCAAUGGACGAGAGUCUGAACCAGCCAAGUAGCGUGAAGGAUGACUGCCCUAUGGGUUGUAAACUUCUUUUAUAUGGGAAUAAAACGUUCCACGUGUGGGAUUUUGUAUGUACCCUAUGAAUAAGGAUCGGCUAACUCCGUGCCAGCAGCCGCGGUAAUACGGAGGAUCCGAGCGUUAUCCGGAUUUAUUGGGUUUAAAGGGAGCGUAGGUGGAUUGUUAAGUCAAUUGUGAAAGUUUGCGGCUCAACCGUAAAAUUGCAGUUGAAACUGGCAGUCUUGAGUACAGUAGAGGUGGGCGGAAUUCGUGGUGUAGCGGUGAAAUGCUUAGAUAUCACGAAGAACUCCGAUUGCGAAGGCAGUUCACUGGACUGCAACUGACACUGAGGCUCGAAAGUGUGGGUAUCAAACAGGAUUAGAUACCCUUGUAGUC